AUUGAACGCUGGCGGCAUGCCUUACACAUGCAAGUCGAACGGCAGCACGGGAGCAAUCCUGGUGGCGAGUGGCGAACGGGUGAGUAAUACAUCGGAACGUGCCCUGUAGUGGGGGAUAACUAGUCGAAAGACUAGCUAAUACCGCAUACGACCUGAGGGUGAAAGUGGGGGACCGCAAGGCCUCAUGCUAUAGGAGCGGCCGAUGUCUGAUUAGCUAGUUGGUGGGGUAAAGGCCUACCAAGGCGACGAUCAGUAGCUGGUCUGAGAGGACGAUCAGCCACACUAGGACUGAGACACGGCCCAGACUCCUACGGGAGGCAGCAGUGGGGAAUUUUGGACAAUGGGGGCAACCCUGAUCCAGCAAUGCCGCGUGUGUGAAGAAGGCCUUCGGGUUGUAAAGCACUUUUGUCCGGAAAGAAAUCGCUUCGGUUAAUACCUGGAGUGGAUGACGGUACCGGAAGAAUAAGGACCGGCUAACUACGUGCCAGCCGCCGCGGUAACAC
rnacentral:rRNA from 1 species